rnacentral:tRNA from 1 species
CAGAAAAUAGUUUAACAUAAAAUGUCAGCUUUGGGAGUUGGUGAUAGAGGUUUAAGCCCUCUUUUUCUGA